rnacentral:lncRNA from 1 species
UUAUGAUUCAACUUUUCACUAAGGAACAUAACAGUGCAUGGUGUACCUCGGCAGACACUGGCGGACAGGCUGAGCGGUCGGGUGACUCAUGGUUGUCACAAAAAAGGAGCACAGUUCUGGUGCAGAACUGUGUCUACAGCGCCAGCCAUGGGUUCCCCUUCACCAGACAGAGGCUGAUGAAAUAUGCUGACAAAAUACGCAGGUUUAGGCACCCAGGGGAAACAAUCCCACCACUGGGGAAGAGGUGGUGGGAAAUGUUUAGGAGGAGGCACAAGAACCUGAGCAUGAGGAGGCCGGACACCCUGGACAGGGGGAGAGCUGAGUAUGCCACACGUCCAACGAUGGACACCUUCUUCACUUAUGAGAAUCACUUGGAGGAGAGUGGGUUGAGGGAGAAACCCAGACAAAUCUAUAACUGCGAUGAGUCUGGAUUUUGUAGUGACCAGAGCAGGCACAAGUACUGGUUCCCCAGGGAGCAAAACACGUGUACCUGCAGGCUCCGGGGACCAAGGAGCACAUCACAGUGCUGGCCUGCUUGGAUGUCCCCACGUUUAUCAUCUACCCCAAGUGUUUCCCCAGUGGCCACUACACACUGGGAGGCCCCCCUCUCCCGAAGCCUUGUAUGGACGGUCAAACAGUGGCUACAUUGAUGGGGACCUGUUCAGGAAGUGGUUUUCAGCACUUCAUUAAGCAUGCAGUGAAGGAGCGCCCUCUCCUUCUCCUCUUUGAUGGGCACAAGAGCCACAUGGAACCGGAGGUGCUCGCGGCGAAGGGGUUAUACUAUAUUGUCUUCCACCACACUGCACCCAUGUCCUGCAGCCGCUGGAUGUGGCAUACUUUGGCCCUUAAAAGGCUGAGUUCUCCAAGGUAGCUAGAGGCCUUAGCCAUUUUGACAACUCCUACAUGGUAAACAAAUCAGAAUUUUCCAGAGUAUUCCGCUACCCGUACCAGUGCUUCAAGGACAUGUGCUAUGUGGUGGAAGGGUUUAAGAAGUAUGACCUGUUCCUUUUUGACCCUUCAGCCAUUGAAGGGUCCCGUUUAAUGCCGUAUCGGUCCCUACCGGGUCCCACCACCACCUCUCCUGGAACCAGCAGUACUGUGCCGUCCAUCAGCACCUCCUCCCCAGUGACCACAUGAGGACCCUCAGCCCAUGUUCCAGUCCCAGUCCCUGCUCCAGUCUCAGCUCUAGUCCUAGCUCUAGAAGAGCACCCUCUAAUAGAGGGGGGGCUGAUAGCGAAGGACCUGGGGCACAUCCUUACUGUCCUGAAGUAUCGGC